rnacentral:rRNA from 1 species
GACGAACGCUGGCGGCGUGCUUAACACAUGCAAGUCGAACGGAAAGGCCCUGCUUUUGUGGGGUGCUCGAGUGGCGAACGGGUGAGUAACACGUUAGUAACCUGCCCUUGACUUUGGGAUAACUUCAGGAAACUGGGGCUAAUACCGGAUAGGAGCUCCUGCUGCAUGGUGGGGGUUGGAAAGUUUCGGCGGUUGGGGAUGGACUCGCGGCUUAUCAGCUUGUUGGUGGGGUAGUGGCUUACCAAGGCUUUGACGGGUAGCCGGCCUGAGAGGGUGACCGGCCACAUUGGGACUGAGAUACGGACCAGACUCCUACGGGAGGCAGCAGUGGGGAAUAUUGCACAAUGGGCGGAAGCCUGAUGCAGCAACGCCGCGUGCGGGAUGACGGCCUUCGGGUUGUAAACCGAUUUCGCCUGUGACGAAGCGUGAGUGACGGUAAUGGGUAAAGAAGCACCGGCUAACUACGUG